rnacentral:rRNA from 1 species
CCCUUAGAUGUUCUGGGCUGCACGCGCGCUACACUGAUGCAUCCAACAAGUUUUUUCCUUGUUCGAGAGGACUAGGUAAUCUUAUGAGAAUGCAUCGUGAUGGGGAUAGAUUAUUGCAAUUAUUAAUCUUCAACGAGGAAUUCCUAGUAAGCGCGAGUCAUCAGCUCGUGCUGAUUACGUCCCUGCCCUUUGUACACACCGCCCGUCGCUCCUACCGAUUGAGUGCUCAGGUGAAUAAUUCGGACUGCAGCAAUGUUUGGAUCCCGAACGUUGCAGCGGAAAGUUUAGUGAACCUUAUCACUUAGAGGAAGGAGAAGUCGUAACA